GGAAUAUUGGACAAUGGGGGAAACCCUGAUCCAGCGACGCCGCGUGGGUGAUGAAGGCCUUCGGGUCGUAAAGCCCUGUCUGGGGGGACGAAUCCCCCGCCGGUGAACAAUCGGCGGGAAUGACGGUACCCCCGAAGGAAGCACCGGCUAACUCUGUGCCAGCAGCCGCGGUAAGACAGAGGGUGCGAGCGUUGUUCGGAAUUACUGGGCGUAAAGGGCGCGUAGGCGGUCUGUUAAGUUCGGUGUGAAAGCCCUCGGCUCAACCGGGGAAGUGCGCCGGAUACUGACAGACUCGAGUACCGGAGAGGAGGGUGGAAUUCCUGGUGUAGCGGUGAAAUGCGUAGAUAUCCGGAGGAACACCGGUGGCGAAGGCGGCUUCCUGGACCGACACUGACGCUGAGGCGCGAAAGCUAGGGGAGCAAACGGGA
rnacentral:misc_RNA from 1 species